GCGGUCGUGGCGGAACGGCAGACGCGCUAGCCUCAGGAGCUAGUAGGGGCAACCCUGUGGUGGUUCAAAUCCACUCGGCCGCACCA
rnacentral:tRNA from 2 species